ensembl:lncRNA KLF2-DT KLF2 divergent transcript
CCGGGCGCCCCGGGCUCCCGCCUGCGCGAGCAUCCCGGGGACCUGGAGCGGGGGCGGUGUCGGGGCCUCUCAGAGACUCUCAGGGGAGCACCGGGCUUGGCGGUCUCCCCGGAUCCCUUGACGGAAGGGGAGAUUGGCUCCAGCCUCAGAGAGGGCUGCAGAACCCUGGAUGGAUGGGAAGUCUGGAGUCUCCAGGAUUCAUGGAUGGGAAACCCUACUUGGCUGUGCUUCCUGCUAACACGAGGCCCUGCGAUUGCUGAGAACAACAGCCCCGAGACUGCGCGGCUCCGGGGGGAAAAAAACCUGGCCCCCUUUCAAGCCUUGACAGAAAACCUUUCAGAGCCCUGAACUCCCACCAGCCCGAGGACGGCUCCGAUAGCUCUGACAAAUGAGCCGGGACUGUGCCCAGGGCUCCCAGGCUGGGAGGGGACCCCGGCUCCCUUGUUCCUUCCUAAGGUCGGAAAAAAAAGCGCGUGUCCCUUCCUCCACCACAGAGGAACAGAGAAGUGUUUGCAUUGGUGGAUUUUUAAAUACUUGUUUAUUUUUAUUAAAGUGCAAUUCACAUGAAAUU